UACAGAGGUCUCAAGCGUUGUUCGGAUUUAUUGGGCGUAAAGCGUGCGUAGGCGGCGGGGUAAGUGAGGUGUGAAAUCCCGGAGCUUAACUCCGGAACUGCACUUUAUACUGCCUUGCUCGAGGGCUGGAGAGGAGACUGGAAUUUACGGUGUAGCAGUGAAAUGCGUAGAGAUCGUAAGGAAGACCAGUGGCGAAGGCGAGUCUCUGGAAAGCUGCUGACGCUGAGGCACGAAGACCAGGGGAGCAAACGGG
rnacentral:rRNA from 1 species